AGGGAUGGGAGAUUAGGAGAAACAAGCAACUGGUGCCUCUACUUCCUCCAUUAUCCACGAAACCAACAAAUGAGUUAUUUUCCAUUUAUAAAUGCCUGGUACUGAAUCAUCAAUUCAAUUAAGCUACGUGGCUGGUUUAAGAAAGAAACAGACAACUGUUUUCACUUUAAUACCUUCAGUUAGCUCACAGAAGUCCUCUAUAACAAACACCGUGAGAGAAGAACAUGUGGGCGGAGCCAGAACUGGAAGGAGAGAGGCCCCCUGAGCCCAUGGCGACUUUCCCAGUCCCUUGCUGGGCCAAGCCCAACGAGCGCUUCAGAAAUCGUUGUUGAGUCGGCGCACGACUUGAAGCUUCGGGGAUGGGGCGGCAGGCACCCGCAUAACCGCUUAUGCGUGGGACUGCAACAAGCGUCCGGAUCUUCCAGGGUUCACGGACACCCAGAUUUCUCCACAGGAUAUGCCCUUUAAAAUAAACGUUCUGAAUAUGUC